rnacentral:rRNA from 1 species
UACAGAGGGUGCGAGCGUUAAUCGGAAUUACUGGGCGUAAAGCGUGCGUAGACGGUUACAUAAGUCGGGUGUGAAAGCCCCGGGCUCAACCUGGGAAUGGCGAUGGAUACUGGCUCGCUAGAGUGCGGUAGAGGAGAGUGGAAUUCCCGGUGUAGCAGUGAAAUGCGUAGAGAUCGGGAGGAACAUCAGUUGCGAAGGCGGCUCUCUGGACCAGCACUGACACUGAGGCACGAAAGCGUGGGGAGCAAACAGG